UGGGGAAUUUUGGACAAUGGGCGCAAGCCUGAUCCAGCAAUGCCGCGUGAGUGAAGAAGGCCUUCGGGUUGUAAAGCUCUUUUGUCAGGGAAGAAACGGCCGGGGAUAAUACCUUCGGCUAAUGACGGUACCUGAAGAAUAAGCACCGGCUAACUACGUGCCAGCAGCCGCGGUAAUACGUAGGGUGCGAGCGUUAAUCGGAAUUACUGGGCGUAAAGCGUGCGCAGGCGGUUUUGUAAGUCUGACGUGAAAUCCCCGGGCUUAACCUGGGAAUUGCGUUGGAGACUGCAAGGCUGGAGUCUGGCAGAGGGGGGUAGAAUUCCACGUGUAGCAGUGAAAUGCGUAGAGAUGUGGAGGAACACCGAUGGCGAAGGCAGCCCCCUGGGUCAAGACUGACGCUCAUGCACGAAAGCGUGGGGAGCAAACA
rnacentral:rRNA from 1 species